AUUUCUUUGCGUCUAAAAAUGUUUUGAGAGUUUUUUUGCCACGACUGCACCCUGAGACAAAGUCAGUGUUUGUCACAACGUUCACGUUGAACCUGGCAGGAAGACAGGCUGAGCCACGAAAGGUGGAUGGCUGGACCCGGAUUUGGGCACAAUUGUAACCCUAAGAUGGGUAACGGGGACUCAAUUGUUGGAAUGGUAUUGAAACCUUCCCUGGAACACUUGUGCAUUUCUCGCAAGAAUAUAAAAUGAUGUAGCUGCCUUUUGAAACUGUUUGGCAUCUAAUCAACUAAACAGAGUCACUACUGUAUGGCCCAGGAACCCCACUCCUGGGUAUUUAUCUAAAGGAAUAAAAACCUUGACUCCCCACAAAAAUCUCUACACAACUGUUUAUAAAAGAAUUGUAACAGUAGCUCCAAAUCGACUUUGAAUAAAGAAAAUGUGGUCUACUUUUACAAUGGACUGUCACUUCAAAACAGGAAUGAAGUAUGGAUUCCCGAACUGCCAUCAGAGAGACCUUGGAUAGAUUGCACUCUGUGAAAGAAGUGGACUCAGAAGGUCACGCACUGUCUAAUCUGCCUUAUGUGAAAGGUCCAGAAUAGGCAACUCUGCAGAUGCAGGAAGCAGGAAGCUGUGCCAGACCUGGGGGGAAGGUGUGAGAAGGAAGUGAAGUGAGUGUGAAUUGGCUGCUGCUGCUUUGGAAGUGACCAAGAUGUUCUGGAAUAGUGAUGACAUCUAAGCCCUGGAAUGAAUCAAAGCCCACCAGGGUGAAUUUUAUGGCCUGAGAAUUUCAUCUCAAUAAAACAUUUUUGUUUGUUCUGUGUGC
rnacentral:lncRNA from 1 species